AGCAGCCGCGGUAAUUCCAGCUCCAAUAGCGUAUAUUAAAGUUGUUGCAGUUAAAAAGCUCGUAGUUGAAUUUCGGGGUUAGUAAGUUGGUCAUGCCUUCGGUAUGUACUGGCUUUACUGAUUCCUCCUUCUUGACGAACCGUGAUGUCAUUAAUUUGGUGUUGCGGGAAAUCAGGACUGUUACUUUGAAAAAAUUGGAGUGUUUAAAGCAGGCUAACGCUUGAAUACAUUAGCAUGGAAUAAUGAAAUAGGACGUUAAUCCUAUUUUGUUGGUUUCUAGGAUCGACGUAAUGAUUAAUAGGGAUAGUUGGGGGCAUUAGUAUUCAAUUGUCAGAGGUGAAAUUCUUGGAUUUAUUGAAGACUAACUACUGCGAAAGCAUUUGCCAAGGAUGUUUUCAUUAAUCAAGAACGAAAGUUAGGGGAUCGAAGACGAUCAGAUACCGUCGUAGU
rnacentral:rRNA from 1 species